ACGGGUGAGUAAUAUAUCGGAACGUGCCCAGUAGUGGGGGAUAGCCCGGCGAAAGCCGGAUUAAUACCGCAUACGACCUACGGGUGAAAGCGGGGGAUCGCAAGACCUCGCGCUAUUGGAGCGGCCGAUAUCAGAUUAGGUAGUUGGUGGGGUAAAAGCCUACCAAGCCGACGAUCUGUAGCUGGUCUGAGAGGACGACCAGCCACACUGGGACUGAGACACGGCCCAGACUCCUACGGGAGGCAGCAGUGGGGAAUUUUGGACAAUGGGCGCAAGCCUGAUCCAGCCAUGCCGCGUGCGGGAAGAAGGCCUUCGGGUUGUAAACCGCUUUUGUCAGGGAAGAAACGGUCUGAUCUAAUACAUCGGACUAAUGACGGUACCUGAAGAAUAAGCACCGGCUAACUACGUGCCAGCAGCCGCGGUAAUACGUAGGGUGCAAGCGUUAAUCGGAAUUACUGGGCGUAAAGCGUGCGCAGGCGGCUUUGCAAGACAGAUGUGAAAUCCCCGGGCUCAACCUGGGAACUGCAUUUGUGACUGCAAGGCUAGAGUACGGUAGAGGGGGAUGGAAUUCCGCGUGUAGCAGUGA
rnacentral:rRNA from 1 species